GCCAGGCACAAUGGCAUGUGUCUGUAUUCCCAGCUACUCGGGAGGCUGAGGCUGAGGAUUGCCUGAGUCCAGGAAUUCUGAACUGUAGUGCACUAUGUUGAUUGAGUGUCCACACCAAGUUCAGCAUUAAUAUGGUGACUUUCUUGAAGUGGGGGACCGUCAGGUUGCCUAAGGAGGGGUGAACCAGCCCAAGUCAGAAAUGGAGCAGGUCAAAACUCCUGUGCUGAUCAGUAGAUGCUCAAAAAAUAUGUGUUGAAUGAAUAAUAAUAUAAUACUAGCU
rnacentral:SRP_RNA from 1 species